GACGAACGCUGGCGGCGUGCCUAAUACAUGCAAGUAGAACGCACAGUUUAUACCGUAGCUUGCUACACCAUACACUGUGAGUUGCGAACGGGUGAGUAACGCGUAGGUAACCUGCCUGGUAGCGGGGGAUAACUAUUGGAAACGAUAGCUAAUACCGCAUAAUAUUGAUUAUUGCAUGAUAAUUGAUUGAAAGAUGCUAUUGCAUCACUACCAGAUGGACCUGCGUUGUAUUAGCUAGUAGGUGAGGUAACGGCUCACCUAGGCGACGAUACAUAGCCGACCUGAGAGGGUGAUCGGCCACACUGGGACUGAGACACGGCCCAGACUCCUACGGGAGGCAGCAGUAGGGAAUCUUCGGCAAUGGACGAAAGUCUGACCGAGCAACGCCGCGUGAGUGAAGAAGGUUGUCGGAUCGUAAAGCUCUGUUGUAAGAGAAGAACGGGUGUGAGAGUGGAAAGUUCACAAUGUGACGGUAUCUUACCAGAAAGGGACGGCUAACUACGUG
rnacentral:rRNA from 1 species